UCAUUGUACUAUCCCCAGAGUAGCCACUAUUUACACUUUACUGUGUUACCUUUGAGCCUUUUAUUUUUCUUCCUCUCUCUUUUCCCUUUGUCCAGUGUCGUCUUAUUCUCCGACUCCUCACCACCAAUAAAAAGGGGAAUCUGGAUUGGGAAAGUCGACAUUAAUCAACUCAUUAUUCCUCACAGAUUUGCAUUCUCCAGAGUAUCCAGGUCCUUCUCAUAGAAUUAAAAAGACUGUACAGAACACACAUGCAGGACUUGAGAUGUUACUAAUAAUGUCCACUACAAGAACUAUGAAAGCAGAAAACUGGCAGCUGUGACUUACAAUGGAGUUGAUAACAACAAGAAUAAAGGGCACC